AAGUCGUAACAAGGUUUCCGUAGGUGAACCUGCGGAAGGAUCAUUAACACGUUAUCCACGUAUCUACCUCUUGCGAACUUUUUACUGUUCAGGAGUCGGCAGACCAGCGUAGAUAAUGGAGGUAGAUGUUACUAUGUCCAGUGGCCGACACCCUGGUUCUACCUGCCUAGCUAACCCCGCCAUCCCCUUCGUUUUUUUUUAAAUGUGGUGUAAGAAAAAAAGAAGCGUGUUGGGUGUGGGCUUAGGUAUUCUGGUUCAUAUGACUCGAAUCAUAGUAGUUUUUUUAAUCUUAUUAACCCUUUUUUUACUUAAUUUGUUGAAUUGUGAUGGUCCCUGGAGGUAACACUUCGGGUGGCUCACGUUAAUAAAACACUAUACAACUCUUAGCAACGGAUAUCUCGGUUCU
rnacentral:misc_RNA from 1 species